rnacentral:rRNA from 1 species
AGUAACGCGUAUGCAAUCUACCUUUUACAGAGGGAUAGCCCAGAGAAAUUUGGAUUAAUACCUCAUAGUAUAGCAGCUUCGCAUGAAGCCACUAUUAAAGUCACAACGGUAAAAGAUGAGCAUGCGUCCCAUUAGCUAGUUGGUAAGGUAACGGCUUACCAAGGCUACGAUGGGUAGGGGUCCUGAGAGGGAGAUCCCCCACACUGGUACUGAGACACGGACCAGACUCCUACGGGAGGCAGCAGUGAGGAAUAUUGGACAAUGGGCGCAAGCCUGAUCCAGCCAUGCCGCGUGCAGGAUGACGGUCCUAUGGAUUGUAAACUGCUUUUGUACGAGAAGAAACAUUCCGACGUGUCGGAGCUUGACGGUAUCGUAAGAAUAAGGAUCGGCUAACUCCGUGCCAGCAGCCGCGGUAAUACGGAGGAUCCAAGCGUUAUCCGGAAUCAUUGGGUUUAAAGGGUCCGUAGGCGGUUUAGUAAGUCAGUGGUGAAAGCCCAUCGCUCAACGGUGGAACGGCCAUUGAUACUGCUGAACUUGAAUUAUUAGGAAGUAACUAGAAUAUGUAGUGUAGCGGUGAAAUGCUUAGAGAUUACAUGGAAUACCAAUUGCGAAGGCAGGUUACUACUAAUUGAUUGACGCUGAUGGACGAAAGCGUGGGUAGCGAACAGGAUUAGAUACCCUGGUAGUCCACGCCGUAAACGAUGGAUACUAGCUGUUGGAAGCAAUUUCAGUGGCUAAGCGAAAGUGAUAAGUAUCCCACCUGGGGAGUACGUUCGCAAGAAUGAAACUCAAAGGAAUUGACGGGGGCCCGCACAAGCGGUGGAGCAUGUGGUUUAAUUCGAUG